rnacentral:rRNA from 1 species
CCCAGACAGCCAGGAUGUUGGCUUAGAAGCAGCCAUCAUUUAAAGAAAGCGUAAUAGCUCACUGGUCGAGUCGGCCUGCGCGGAAGAUGUAACGGGGCUAAACCAUGCACCGAAGCUGCGGCAGCGAACGUAUCACCCAAGACAACUUUACGGAGUUGACGAUUGACGGAGCGAAGCGACGUCAAAGCGUUCAUUAAAGUCGAGUUGGCUUAGGGAUACGUUCGUUGGGUAGGGGAGCGUUCUGUAAGCCUGCGAAGGUGACCUGUGAGGGUUGCUGGAGGUAUCAGAAGUGCGAAUGCUGACAUAAGUAACGAUAAAGCGGGUGAAAAGCCCGCUCGCCGGAAGACCAAGGGUUCCUGUCCAACGUUAAUCGGGGCAGGGUGAGUCGACCCCUAAGGC